rnacentral:rRNA from 1 species
UACAGAGGGUGCAAGCGUUAAUCGGAAUUACUGGGCGUAAAGCGCGCGUAGGCGGUUCGUUAAGUUGGAUGUGAAAUCCCCGGGCUCAACCUGGGAACUGCAUUCGAAACUGUCGAGCUAGAGUAUGGUAGAGGGUGGUGGAAUUUCCUGUGUAGCGGUGAAAUGCGUAGAUAUAGGAAGGAACACCAGUGGCGAAGGCGACCACCUGGACUGAUACUGACACUGAGGUGCGAAAGCGUGGGGAGCAAACAGG